rnacentral:rRNA from 1 species
GACGAACGCUGGCGGCGUGCUUAACACAUGCAAGUCGAACGGAAAGGCCCUGCUUUUGUGGGGUGCUCGAGUGGCGAACGGGUGAGUAACACGUGAGUAACCUGCCCUUGACUUUGGGAUAACUUCAGGAAACUGGGGCUAAUACCGGAUAGGAGCUCCUGCUGCAUGGUGGGGGUUGGAAAGUUUCGGCGGUUGGGGAUGGACUCGCGGCUUAUCAGCUUGUUGGUGGGGUAGUGGCUUACCAAGGCUUUGACGGGUAGCCGGCCUGAGAGGGUGACCGGCCACAUUGGGAGGGGGAUACGGCCCAGACCCCUGCGGGGGGCAGGGGGGGGGAAUAUGGCAAAAUGGGGGGAAGCGUGAGGCAGAAACGGCGGGGGGGGGGUGAGGGCCUUCGGGUUGUAACCCGCUUUCGCCGGGGACGAGGGGGGGGGGAGGGUAAGGGGUAAAGAAGCAGCGGCUAACUACGU